AUGCGCCGGCUACAACGCAGCAGCUUGGCUCGCAUUGCAUCCACCACCAGAGCGGCGUGGACGCGUCAGGGCAGCAGCAGCAGCCUAUUAGGAGCGAGAGCGGCGCCGUACUGCACCAUGGCGGGACGAUCAGGGGACGACGCGAUGGCGGGCGUGGCCACGGGCGGCGUGGAGGACGCCUACGGCGAGGACCGCGCCACCGAGGACCAGCCCGUCACGCCGUGGGCCGUCUGCAUCGCCAGUGGCCAUUCUCUGCUGAGGGAUCCGCGGCACAACAAGGGGCUGUCCUUCACGGAGAAGGAGCGGGACGCGCACUACCUGCGCGGCCUGCUGCCUCCGGUGGUCCUGUCCCAGGAGCUCCAGGAGAAGCGGCUGCUGCAGAACGUGCGGCAGCUCGAGGUCCCGCUGCAGCGCUACAUGUUCCUCAUGGACCUCCAGGAGAGGAACGAGAGGCUCUUCUACAAGCUCAUGAUCGACAACGUCGAGGAGCUGCUCCCCGUCGUCUACACGCCCACCGUCGGCGAGGCGUGCCAGAAGUACGGCUCCAUCUUCAGGCGCUCGCAGGGCCUCUACAUCAGUCUCAAAGACAAGGGGAGAGUACUGGAGGUGCUGAGGAACUGGCCAGAGAAGAGUAUUCAGGUCAUCGUUGUCACCGACGGCGAGCGCAUCUUAGGCCUCGGAGAUCUUGGCUGCCAGGGUAUGGGAAUUCCCGUGGGGAAGCUUGCGCUGUACACGGCCCUUGGUGGUGUCAGGCCAUCUGCCUGUUUACCCAUCACUAUUGAUGUGGGGACGAACAAUGAAGAGCUACUGAACGACGAGUUCUACAUUGGAUUACGGCAGAGAAGAGCUACGGGCCAGGAAUACACUGAGCUUCUGGAUGAGUUCAUGGUUGCCGUGAAGCAGAACUAUGGACAGAAGGUUCUUGUCCAGUUUGAAGACUUCGCAAAUCACAAUGCGUUUACCCUUCUCGACAAGUACAAGGCGACCCAUCUUGUCUUCAAUGAUGAUAUUCAGGGAACGGCUGCUGUGGUUCUUGCGGGCCUUAUGGCUGGUCUGAAGUUUGCUGGUGGAACUUUAGCUGAUCACACAUUCUUAUUCUUCGGUGCCGGAGAGGCUGGUACAGGCAUUGCUGAACUAGUUGCUUUGGAGAUAUCAAUGCAGUCCAAGACUUCACAGGAAGAGGCUCGCAAAAAUAUCUGGCUUGUUGAUUCAAAGGGAUUAAUCGUGAGUUCGCGUAAAGAUUCUAUACAGCCCUUCAAGAAGCUAUAUGCACAUGAGCAUGAACCAGUCAAAGAUCUUUUAAGUGCCAUCAAGGAUAUCAAACCGACCGCACUAAUAGGAUCAGCUGGUGUGGGCCAAAGUUUCACAAAAGAGGUGAUCGAGGCUAUGUCUUCGAUUAACAAGAGACCAAUCAUCCUUGCGCUAUCCAACCCAACAUCGAAAUCUGAAUGUACAGCUGAGCAGGCAUAUUCAUGGAGUCAGGGCCGUGCAAUAUUCGGGAGUGGAAGCCCAUUUGAUCCAGUGAAAUAUAACGAGAAGCUUUUCGUGCCUGCCCAGGCGAACAAUGCGUACAUCUUCCCAGGAUUUGGCUUAGGUGUAGUGAUCUCCGGGGCGAUAAGGGUGAAAGACGAUAUGGUCCUUGCUGCUGCUGAGGCCUUAGCCGAACAGGUCACGGCAGAGCAUUUCGACAAAGGUCUGAUCUAUCCACCCUUCUCCAGCAUCAGGAAGAUAUCAGCUAAUAUCGCGGCUCGUGUCGCUGCGAAAGCCUAUGACCUUGGACUGGCAAGCCAUCUCCCUCGCCCAAAAGACUUGGUGAAGUACGCUGAGAGCUGCAUGUACAGCCCCAUCUACCGUUCAUACAGAUGA
rnacentral:rRNA from 1 species